AUAACCUGCCCUAAGGUGGAGCAUAACCCCGGGAAACUGGGGAUAAUACUCCAUAGAUUAGAGACACUGGAAUGUUCUUUAGUCGAAAGUUCUGGCGCCUUAGGAUGGAUCUGCGGUCGAUUAGGUUGUUGUUGGGGUAACGGCCCAACAAGCCUGUAAUCGAUACGGGUUGUGGGAGCAAGAGCCCGGAGAUGGAAUCUGAGACACGAUUCCAGGCCCUACGGGGCGCAGCAGGCGCGAAAACUUUACAAUGCAGGAAACUGUGAUAAGGGAACUCCGAGUGCCCGUAUACGCGGGCUGUCCAGGUGUUUAAAAAUCAUCUGAAGAAAGGGCCGGGCAAGACCGGUGCCAGCCGCCGCGGUAAUACCGGCGGCUCGAGUGGUGGCCACUAUUAUUGGGCUUAAAGCGUCCGUAGCUGGACCGAUAAGUCUCUUGGGAAAUCCGCCGGCUCAACCGGCGGGCGUCUAAGGGAUACUGUUAGUCUAGGGACCGGGAGAGGUGAGAGGUACUCCGGGGGUAGGAGUGAAAUCCUGUAAUCCCCGGGGGACCACCGAUGGCGAAGGCAUCUCACCAGAACGGCUCCGACAGUGAGGGACGAAAGCUGGGGGAGCGAACCGGAUUAGAUACCCGGGUAGUCCCAGCCGUAAACUAUGCGCGUUAGGUGUACUGGUGACCACGAGUCACCGGGGUGCCGAAGGGAAACCGUGAAACGUGCCGCCUGGGAAGUACGGUCGCAAGGCUGAAACUUAAAGGAAUUGGCGGGGGAGCACCACAACGGGUGGAGCCUGCGG
rnacentral:rRNA from 1 species